rnacentral:rRNA from 1 species
AAUGAACGUUGGCGGCGUGGAUUAGGCAUGCAAGUCGAGCGAGAACCCGCAAGGGGGACAGCGGCGAACGGGGUAGGACAAUCUAGGUAACGUACCCUCGGGGCGAGGACAGCCACGGGAAACUGUGGGUAAUACUCGAUAAACUUCCCAAUCAUUAUCGGAGGGAAGCAAUGGGUGUGAUUCCACCUGAGGAGCGGCUUAGACAGUAUCAGCUUGUUGGUGAGGUAACGGCUCACCAAGGCUACGACGCUUAGGGGGUGUGAGAGCAUGGCCCCCACCACUGGCACUGAGACACUGGCCAGACACCUACGGGUGGCUGCAGUCGAGAAUCUUCGGCAAUGGACGCAAGUCUGACCGAGCGACGCCGCGUGCGGGAUGAAGGUCUUCGGAUUGUAAACCGCUGUCAGAGGGGAUGAAGUGUACGGGGGUACGUCCCCUGUACUUGACAGAGCCUCAGAGGAAGCACGGGCUAAGUUCGUGCCAGCAGCCGCGGUAAU